CGCGCCACCAACAGCGCGCCCAGCACCAGGCCGAGGAGUCGCCCCCCAUCGCGCACAGCAGCUAAGGUUGUGCACUGCAUCAGGGCGCGCGGCUGACGGAGCAAGGGGCAAACUGAAAUCCAAUUCUCGCUCCAUUCGCCAAGUUGUGAGCCUCGGAGUGGGAACAGCGGACACCACAGAGUCAGGUGUCCCCUGUGCCCGUGUGGACAGAGUGGGGAUCCUCAGCUACUCACCAAAGCUUUGUUCAAUGCCCACUUUCUGCUGACCCCUCGCUGGAUGAUCCUGGAGACUCAGUAAUGAUGAGACCAUCCUGCGCCAUGCAUUCAUGGGGCUCCCAGUCUAACUGGGAGACUGACACAAGAGUGACCCACGCCUGUUGUCCCAGCUACUCGGGAGGCUGAGGUCGGAGGAUUGCUUGAGCCCAGGAGUUCGAGGCUGCAGUGAGCUAUGCCUGGGAGAGAGUGAGACCCUAUCUCUAAAAAAAAGAAAAAAGACAGCCCAGAGUGGUCAGGGCUGUGAUGAGGGAAGCAAGGGUACAAUGAUCAAGCCUGGAAUCAGGGAGCCCUAGAGGGCCCUGGGAGUCCAGAGGAAGCAACCACCCCUGCCUAGGGAGGUCAAGAGAGCUUCCUGAGGAAGGGGCUAGCUGAGCUGAAGCAUGAAGGAUGAAUGGAAACAAGCCAGGCAGAAUCACAAAUACACGCCUCUAUUUAAGAGGAAAUUUUUCUUUCUGCGCCCCCCCGUAAGUCUCUCCACUUCUGCCUCCAGCCAGAACUCAGCGCCUUCCUGACAGCCUUUUGGAGGGCAGCCCAGAGUCCUAACCCCAUCCGACUGGCAGAGGAGUGGGGCUUGGGGCUCAGCUCAGACAUGUCCCAGCUGGUUCUAUUAAAGAGCUGGCAGAUCACCGGGCAGAGCCCAACUUGGGGUUGACAAUCCAGAAGCAGAGGCACCUGAUAAUAGAAUCAGUAACACAAUAGGUGCCAGUGAUCGAAGGCUUACAUUCUGCCAGGCCCUGUGGACACCUGAACUUGCACUGAAUUCUCAACCCCGUCCCAAUAUAAUUCCCACUAAACAGAUGAGAAAAUUUAGGCUUAAAAAUGAAGUAGUCAUUUGAGACCAGCUCGGGCAACAUGGCAAAACCCCAUCUCGACAAAAAAUACAAAAAUUAGCCAAGUGUGGUGGCAUGCGUCUGUAGUCCCAGCUACUCGGGAGGCUGAGGCAGGAGGAUCGUUUGAGCUCAGGAAUUAGAGACUGCAAUGAGUUAU
rnacentral:lncRNA from 10 species